CCUACGGGCGGCAGCAGUGGGGAAUAUUGGACAAUGGGCGAAAGCCUGAUCCAGCCAUGCCGCGUGUGUGAAGAAGGCCUUCGGGUUGUAAAGCACUUUCAGUGGGGAAGAAAGCCUUGGGGCUAAUACCCUCGAGGAAGGACAUCACCCACAGAAGAAGCACCGGCUAACUCCGUGCCAGCAGCCGCGGUAAUACGGAGGGUGCGAGCGUUAAUCGGAAUUACUGGGCGUAAAGCGCGCGUAGGCGGUCUGAUAAGCCGGUUGUGAAAGCCCCGGGCUCAACCUGGGAACGGCAUCCGGAACUGUCAGGCUAGAGUGCAGGAGAGGAAGGUAGAAUUCCCGGUGUAGCGGUGAAAUGCGUAGAGAUCGGGGGGAAUACCAGUGGCGAAGGCGGCCUUCUGGACUGACACUGACGCUGAGGUGCGAAAGCGUGGGUAGCAAACAGGAUUAGAUACCCCAGUAGUC
rnacentral:rRNA from 1 species